CCGGCACGGUGAGUAACACGUAUGCAAUCCACCUGUAACAGGGGGAUAACCCGGAGAAAUCCGGACUAAUACCCCAUAAUAUGGGCGCUCCGCAUGGAGAGCCCAUUAAAGAGAGCAAUUUUGGUUACAGACGAGCAUGCGCUCCAUUAGCCAGUUGGCGGGGUAACGGCCCACCAAAGCGACGAUGGAUAGGGGUUCUGAGAGGAAGGUCCCCCACAUUGGAACUGAGACACGGUUCAA
rnacentral:rRNA from 1 species